GUCUAUGGCCAUGCCACCCUGAACAAGCCCGAUCCUGUCUGAUCUCAGAAGUUAAGCAGGGUCAGGCCUGAUAGUAUUUGGAUGGGAGACCACCUAGGAAUAUCAGGUGCUGUAGGCG
rnacentral:rRNA from 1 species